AUGGGCAUGCAGUCUAUGAUGGCUGUCCGGUGCACGAACCUUGUCAACCCUGUAUGCGACUGGCUUGGUGAGAUCUACGAGCCUGCCUCCAGGGAAUUCGUAAUUCCUGGACGCGGAAGACUUCCGUUGAACGAGAUAUCCGUGUUCUGCACUUUGGGUGUGCCUCGUGGACAUAUCAAAGUCCCGUAUGAGGUCAAUAAUGAGAUUGAGGAAGCUAUGUUCGCCCGUUUGUUUCCUGGAUUGGAUUCCAUGCCGAACACGUCUGUACUGGCAGAUUCGCUGCAGGCCAUGACGACGCACGGAGAUGUUUUCAAGAUGAAGCUACUCAUGUACCUCAUCUCAGUUGUUUUCGCACCGACCACUUCCCUUCGCCCAAGCAACAAAUGUUUCCCCAUCCUGGCGAAUCUGAAAAAUGUGAAGAACAUGAACUGGUGUAAGUUUAUUGCUGACUUUCUCCACGAUGCUUUCAAAAACAAGAUGUACCAGAAGGGUUGUCGACUGCAUUUAAUGCUCAUGUAUGUCGACUGUCUUGAUCUGUCCAUCGUGGAUUUCUCUGGGGUAGGAGGCCCGCCGCCUACGCACAAGUUUGCUGUUUCUGCGUGGACCAUCAAUGCUGUCAAGGUUGUGCUUGCCGCAGACAGGGCAACUGAUACCACAUAUGGAAAACUACAUCUGAUGGCCAAGCAUGCUAUAGACUACAGCGUGUUUGGGGGGCCUCAAAAAUUUGGAAAGUGGAUGGACGUGCACUCAGCUCCGUCUUGCCCUUCUGAGGCGAGGGCACCAGUUGAGCAUCUAAUUGGGUAG
rnacentral:rRNA from 1 species